AGUGAACGCUGGCGGUAGGCCUAACACAUGCAAGUCGAACGGCAGCACAGUAAGAGCUUGCUCUUACGGGUGGCGAGUGGCGGACGGGUGAGGAAUACAUCGGAAUCUACUUUUUCGUGGGGGAUAACGUAGGGAAACUUACGCUAAUACCGCAUACGACCUACGGGUGAAAGCAGGGGAUCUUCGGACCUUGCGCGAUUGAAUGAGCCGAUGUCGGAUUAGCUAGUUGGCGGGGUAAAGGCCCACCAAGGGGGCGAUCCGUAGCUGGUCUGAGAGGAUGGUAGGCGGCACGGGAAGUGGAACAGGCACAAGGGGCCUACGGGAGGCAGCAGAGUGGAAUGGGGGACAAUAGGGGCAAGCAUGACACAGCCAGAGCGCGUGGGAGAAGAAGACCCUGCGUGUGUAAAGCCCGUUUGUUGGUUAUAAAAAGCAGCAGCUUGAGACCCCGCGGUAGUGACGGUACCGAAAGAAGAAGCACCGGCUAACUACGUG
rnacentral:rRNA from 1 species